ACUUAGGCGCGCCGGAAGUGGCGACCUUCUCCCGUAGCAACCGGGGAGCGCCGGAAGCGGCCGGCACGCGGAGCCAGACAUGGAGGCGGCAGCGGCCGUCAGCCCCGUGCGCUUCAAGAGCAACUACGCCGUGUCGAGGAAGAUCGAACCUUUCUACACAGGGGGACGGGUCCAGAUAACCCGGGAUGGGAAGUUCAUGCUUUGCCCCUGCGGGACCCGGCUGAACGUGAUCGAUGUGGAGACGGGGGCUCAGCGCAGCCUGCAGCAGGAUGACGAAGAAGAAAUCACCUCGUUUGCUCUUAGCCCCGAUGAUGAGAUCCUCGUGACAGGGAGCCGAGCGCUGCUGCUGAAGCAGUGGAAGUGGCGAGAGAACGAGUGUGUUCGCACGUGGAGAGCCGUGCACGUGGCGCCAGUCGCCAGCAUGGCCUUCGACUCCACUUCAACGUUGUUGGCCACAGGCGGCUGUGACAGCACCAUUAAGAUCUGGGAUAUGAUCAAGCAGUACUGCACGCACAACCUGAAAGGAUCCUCAGGAGUUGUUCACCUUGUCGAGUUCCACCCUGACAUCUCCCGUCUGCAACUCUUCUCCUCCUCAAUUGACUACAAAAUCCGCAUCUGGGACCUGAAAUCCAGCAAAUGUGUGGCUGCCCUGGACGGUCACUUCAGCGCUGUCACCUCACUGGCGUUUGCUGAUGGAAACACGCUCGUUAGUUCUGGCCGUGAUAAAAUCUGCAUGGUGUGGGACCUGAAAACCAGAGAAAGCAAACGAACCAUCCCUGUCUAUGAGAGCGUGGAAGCUGCCAUUUUAUUACCUGAGAAGGGAGAUUUCUCACAACUGGGCGUGAAGAAACAAGGGUUGCACUUGGUCACAGCUGGCAGCAAAGGUGUCCUGAAAGUGUGGGAAGUGGCCACAGCUGCCUGUGUGUUCACCCAGCCCGUGCCCUUUGAGUUGAAGGAGGAGGCGAGUGAGCGCAGCCUCACCCAGUGCACGUUCGUACCUGCAAGAAAUGAGAUUGUCACUGUGUCCGUGGAACACAACAUUGUUUUAUACGAUGCUCAGACUCUCCAGCUCAGGAAGCAGCUCGCAGGGUACAACGACGAGGUUCUGGAUGUGAAGUUCGUGGGGCCGGGUGAUUCUCACAUCGUUGUGGCCACCAACAGCCCUCAGCUGAAGGUGUUUGAGCUGGCGACAUCACACUGCCAGAUCCUCUAUGGCCACACAGAAACAAUUCUUGCUUUGGAUGUCUUCAGAAAAGGCCUGAUGUUCGUCAGCUGCGCUAAGGACAAAAGCCUUCGAGUCUGGCGGAUGAACAAGGAUGGAAGGGUGACCUGUGUUGCCCAAGGACUGGGCCAUGCACAUGGCGUGGGUGCUGUCUCUUGCUCACGACUGAAAGAAAACUUCAUAGUAACCAGCAGCCAGGACUGCACGAUCAAGAUCUGGAAUAUCCCGGAAUCCCUCACUUCCAAAGCAAAAGCAGCCUUGAUUUCCAGCCCAGAAACCCUUCACGCAAAAGUGACUGAGAGGGGUCACAACAAGGACAUCAACAGCGUGGCCGUUUCUCCGAACGACAAGCUCAUUGCCAGCGGCUCGCAGGACCGCCUGGCCAAGCUGUGGUCCUGCUCCGAUUGCUCUUUGCUGGGCGUCUUCACUGGCCACAAGCGCGGAAUCUGGUGUGUGCAGUUCUCCCCCGUGGAUCAGGUCUUGGCCACCUCUUCUGCAGACGGGACCCUGAAGCUUUGGGGUCUUCGGGACUUCAGCUGCCUGAAGACCUUUGAAGGUCAUGACGCCUCUGUGCUGAAGAUCAUUUUUGUAAGCCGAGGAGCACAACUGCUCAGCAGCGGUUCUGAUGGUCUCUUAAAACUCUGGACAAUUAAAACAAAUGAGUGUGUGAAAACGUUAGAUGGUCACGAAGAUAAAAUCUGGGGUCUUCACUCCAACAAGCAAGAUGAUACGGUUGUGACAGCAUCCAGCGACUCGUGCAUCACGCUGUGGAAGGAUGUCACUGAAAUUGAAGAGAAAGAGGCACAAGCUAAACAGGAGGAGCAGAUAAUAAAAGAGCAAGAGCUUUCUAACCUGCUUCAUGAGAAAAGGUACCUCAAAGCUCUAGGGCUGGCAAUCUCUCUGGAUCGUCCGCACACGGUGUUGAUGGUGGUCAAAGCCAUCCUCAAGGAAACCGAUGGGAGAAAACACUUGGAAGAGAACAUUGCUCGGCUGCGGAAGGAUCAGAAAGAGGCAGUGUUAUCGUUCCUGGUGACAUGGAACACGAACUCUCGAAACUGCCACGAGGCCCAGGCUGUCAUUGAAACCCUCCUGAAGCACGAGGCGCCGGAUGAGCUCCUACAGUACUCAGGCAUCAAACCCGCAGUGGAGUCCCUGCUGCCGUACACCGAGCGGCAUUUCCAGCGGCUGAGCCGGUUGCUCCAGGCCUCCAUGUUCAUCGAUUUCAUGUGGCAAAACAUGAGGCUGGCUGAUGCAGCACCACAGGAGGAGGUGACGCUGUGACCCCCCCUCCCGCCAGCUGCUCUGUGCGGAGGGGACACUCUGAACUGCUUCCCUACCAGCAGUAACUGCAGCUCUGGGUUUCCUGGAUGACUGUCCCUUCCUGGGUCUGGGUUUCCCUCCGCAGCACUCGGGAGUAACGCAAGAACUACCAGGAAAUGUCCACAUAUCACAUCGCAGGGGAAAAGCCUGCCUGAGGGAGAACGAGCUGGAUCCCGCGUCACCUCGAGACGACACGGGAGCUGCCAGACCCGCGGCUGCUGCGACUCCCCUCAGCGGCACACCCCAGUUCAACCACUAAACCCCCCGCUGAACUCCAGUAAAGCCCCUCCUGCCCCCCAGCCUCCCUGGGGAAGCCACUGCUCGAGUCACUGUUCCCCAGGGAAGCGAUGUUUGCACGUGUGUCCCUAGAAGAUGACAGUCCCAAGCCCUGACGCUGCCCACAGACAUUGGUGAGGAGGGUGCCCAGUGCUCAGUCACAGUGCUGGCCCAGGGCUGGGUCCUUGUCCCCCUGGGGACACUAGUGGACAUUGGGCAGAGGGAGCAGAGCCUGGAGGGCUGGGCGGGAGGACGACUGCUGCACGGCUCGCUUGGUGAUGGUGCUGCACUUCUGGAGGAUCUCGUGGGCCGAGGGACGUGCAGGCACCUUGGGGACACAAGCGGCCAAGUCGGGGUCAGGGAGGGAGCAGCUGAGAUCCACUGUGGAUGACUCCACAAAGCCAGAGUCCUUCCUGUCCUCGUGGGUGAGGCGUGGGGACUUGCUGCUGUGCAUGGCUGAGUCGUGGCCCCGGGGAGAGCUCCUGCCCUGCUCCACCUCAGGCAGAGAUCGAGACAAAUCAGGUUUCCAGCCCAGCCGGCCGUCGUGCUCGCUGCCGCUCCCCGAGCUGAGGGGUGAGCUGUCCAACUCCAGGUCUGGGGUGGAGCUGACCCUGGGCAGAGACCUUGAUCUGCUCCUCAGAGAGUUCCCGUCCUCAGUCUGCUCAGGGGAAGAGCGAACCUGGACCCUGUGCUGUCCCGUAGGCGACGGAGCCAUCGGGGAGGAGCAGAGGUUGGGGGUGGAGAUGUUGAGCCCGGAGUUCAUGAUGCUCUGGAGCUUGUGGUGGGGAUUCUUGUAGGGCUGGAGGCACAUGGAGGGCAGGUACCCAGUACAGCUGUUGUAGCUGAGGAGAAAGGAUGAAAAAACUGAAAAGAGCUCCAAGCACCCAGGGGAGCUGGUGAGGACUCGGCCCGGGCAGUGCACGGGGCAGGAGGAAUGGGAAACCACUCUGGCCAAGGACAGUCAGCUCAGGGGGCUCCUCUACACCCUGCCUGGGGAGAGCGGGCAAGAAGCACCUGCAGCUGGUAACUGGCUCCCUCAGGAGUGAGAGCUUCAGAAAAUCUUUACCGGAUCAGCCACCAGCCGUUGUCGGAUUUCCUGACCACCUCCACCACAACGCCGUUGUUCAGCGAGAGCUCAUCUGCCUUCUGAGCCUCAUAGGCCUGCACAACAAAGAACAGGCUGCCUGCAGAGAGAGGGAAGUUGGGUUUGCUUUGCAGAGAAUAUGUCCCCAUCCCUGUGACAGAGCAGGAGCGAGCAAGAGAUGUAGAGCUGGUGUCCCUGGAAUGAUUUGCACAGGUGAUCAGAAGAAUCACAGCCCCAGAGGUCCAAGCAGUGGUUAAAGCGGCGGGUUUUUCGCAGAACUCAUACUUUUGAAGGAGGAACGUGGUGUCCCAGGAAUCAGACGCAGACUUACCCUCCUCGUUGGAGCUCAGGGCGUUCUGGAUGUCCCUGUGGAUGUCGAUCUCCUCCAGGUAGGAGGCUGGGAACCAUGCAAUCUGCUUGUCUGCAUUUUCUACCAGCCACCACCCUGCAGCAAACAGAAAAUAAAAAGGUUUUAACAGCCUGCAAGUAGACCAUUGACCUUAAUCCCCCGAGAAUAUCAUUCUUUCCUCACAUGUAAAUCCAGGUGAACGCAGGACAUACAAUACAAACACCCCGCUCACCCGCAAUGCUCCAACCCAGCACUUGCCAAGCUGUGAAUCAAUCUGCACCAUCCAUCCCGAAACUGGAGAAUUCCCGUCACACGUACCCGUCACGUCCUUGAUUAACACUUCAACAAUUUCCUUUGUAGCGACUUUGAAAGGCUUGUUCUUGGUGUCCUUGGUUUCGAAGGGCUCGAUGCAGCGGUAGCUCUGGGACGCCUGGGGGUGGGUGAUAUGGGAGAGCUGCUGCUGGGACCGGCUCUGCUUUUCCCCUCCCAUUUCCGAAGGCAUGAUAACGACACUGAAAAGUAAAGCUUCAGAUUGGUUUAUGGAAAACUCACACGGAAGGUUGAAUUUAGUAUUAAUUUGGGUAAAACCGUCUAUGCUGUAGGCUAAGAAAUGACAUAAACAUGCAUUAAAGCAUUCAGGAGAAUCUCCCUGGCAUUAACAUUUGCUUCAUGUCUACCCGUAUUCUAUAACAUUUCUGUUUCAUGAAGACACAUACAAAGAAAAUACACGGCUAUGACUUCAUACCUGUUUUCAGGAAAGGAGGGAUCCAGGUCUUGGGUCUGUGCCUUGAAAAACUGAAUUACAUCUUCCCCCUGGGAGAUUUUAGGGUCUGUUUUCAGCAGCUCCUGGGAAUAAGUUUCCAGCAGUUUCAGAACCUCCAGGCACCUGUUUGGCUUCCUGCUCUUCCUCUGCUUCACGUUUGCAUCUUUACAAUAACGAGCAAAGUCGGUGUAAGACACAACGGAUCUGGGUGCCCUGAGAGCAGCAUCUUCUGCCUGAACACGGGGGUGUCCUCACCCCCCACCCCUCUCCGCACAAACCCAAACUAAAAAGCCAAGACAGUAGCUGCCUCAACCUCCCUGGCAUUUUUAAUAGUGCCUGAUACAAUUUUUGAAUAGCUGCGAUUUUUAUUUAUUCACAUUUAAAUGUUGCAAGGAGCUCUGGGCCACUAUUUAAAGUGUAAUGUUAAUUUACCAAGUGCAAUUAUCUAUUAAAAAUAAGUCUUUCUGA